GACGAGGUGGCCGAGAUAAGGUGAUGGACUGCUAAUCCAUUGUGCUCUGCACGUGUGGGUUCGAAUCCCGUCCUCGUCG